rnacentral:rRNA from 1 species
UACGAAGGGAGCUAGCGUUGUUCGGAAUCACUGGGCGUAAAGCGCACGUAGGCGGAUUGCUAAGUCAGGGGUGAAAUCCUGGAGCUCAACUCCAGAACUGCCUUUGAUACUGGCGAUCUUGAGUCCGGGAGAGGUGAGUGGAACUGCGAGUGUAGAGGUGAAAUUCGUAGAUAUUCGCAAGAACACCAGUGGCGAAGGCGGCUUACUGGUCCGGUUCUGACGCUGAGGCGCGAAAGCGUGGGGAGCAAACAGG